rnacentral:lncRNA from 1 species
AGCCAUCUGAAGGUGGGGCAAUCUGCUUAAAGGAGGAACCCCAGCAUCAACUGGCCUUAUCGGAUCAACUGCUGCAGAAGGUCUUUACCUAAGGGAUGGAUUAUUGUGAAGUCACUGGCUUCGUCCUUACAUAAGGUCUGCUGUUCCAGGAACUGGACACUCUCCUCUUCUUUCAGCUUCAACUUCACCUUCAAGGCCUGAAAGGGAAAUCAUCCCAGAGGGAAACCCAUAACACAACUCUUACAACAAAGACAGCACCCGGACCAGACCGUUAUACCCGUGCUACAUAGAGGGGGGCGACCCCAGUACCAGACAGCAUCUUAUUUCCCACCUUAAAAUUUAUCUGUGCUGGCUCGGGGAAUUUCCCUACUCUGUAUUUAAACUGGAACAAUGAAACCGUUUGUGUCUCCUGCCCCACCAUUUGUCUGGCAAUCGGAAGGCGUCCAAGAAUCUCAC